AUGGCUGGUCGCUCCCGUCACGAAACGAGGUCUGUCUGCGCUCAGUUUUGUACCUAAAUCACCGCGUGUCCGUCUUUAGGUUUGGUAGGCGAUCACCACGAGCUCUUUGGGUUCUGGCUGUUGCCUUUGCAUGUAGCCUCAUCCUGUUGGGGCUUCAUAAGGCGCUGUCAGUCAUCUCCCAAACAGAAGAACCAGCUGAGACUGUUUUACUUCCAAAGCAAACUUGCAAACAAAAGUUGAGUGUUUUACACCGUUUCCGGUGAGGCUUAUGCAGAUCCAAAACUCGGAAGGGUAAACAUUGCGGCAAUUCACGAACAAAUGCGGAUACUCACUUUCAGUUAGGCUUCCGGCUUGGAGUGCAGUUGGAGCUUGCUGGAUGGAGCUAAGCAAACCCAGGCUUCACGGCAAAAUUGGAUACCCUUUCUGUUGGAAAUUGCAACAUAUUAACAUUUGCUACCGCCCUUCUUAUGUGCGAGCUCUUCGUUGAACGUAUCUAUCUCUUGUGCUUCCCGCAAUGUACCAUUGAUAAGCGUUAGUUCUGCUUGACAUAUCGGACUGCUAUUGAGGAUACCUAGAAAAGUUUACAUGAUUUAGUGCGUCUGUCAUAUUCGAGAUUCAAAGGAUUAGGUAAGUCUGAAUUCGAUAGCAAGACAAGGAACUAAUAUUUGCCUUCAUGCCAGUAUUCACCGAAUGUGUUGUUCAGCUGAUGGCGUUGGUGAUGGUGACUGAUGGAAGUAUUGUUAUUGUCCUGGAGGCCAUAGGCUCACAACGUGUCCUUUAUUUCGCUAUUUGCUGCCUUGAAAAGCUCCAAACUGUGGAGUAAAGCGAGGUACGCACCUGUACGGCUGUAAGUUAAAGCCCAUAGAUGCGUACACACGCAGACACAUAUUGUAAUGUACCGUCAUUAUCAAGUCUGGUGGCCAAGCAAGGGUUGAAUUAUGCAUCAAGAUUUGAAAUCCGUUUGUGUUUGGCCUUUUUUGAAUCGUGCUUCGCCAAGUAGAAGGAGCCAUCGGCGAUACAAACGAAAACCGCAAGGCUAUAUUAUUUACAACCAAGAACAACGGAGCCUAUGGGAAAUUUCUGGUCUUUCAGACUCAGCAGGGUCCGCGUACGGCCGCUCUUUCUCGUGCUUCUUCUCGCACCAUUUUCUCAACCACCUUGGAAGUAGAACGAACAAGACCGCACACUUUGCUCUAUUAGGAGUGUAAUGUUGAUUCAAGGCAGUGGUCGAUUUCAAUGUAAAGAGGGCGUUUCAAAGGAAAUGUACUCAUAGUUUGAAUGAC